UGGGGAAUCUUAGACAAUGGGGGAAACCCUGAUCUAGCCAUGCCGCGUGAGCGAUGAAGGCCUUAGGGUUGUAAAGCUCUUUCAGCUGGGAAGAUAAUGACGGUACCAGCAGAAGAAGCCCCGGCUAACUCCGUGCCAGCAGCCGCGGUAAUACGGAGGGGGCUAGCGUUGUUCGGAAUUACAGGGCGUAAAGCGCACGUAGGCGGAUUAGUCAGUCAGAGGUGAAAUCCCAGGGCUCAACCCUGGAACUGCCUUUGAUACUGCUAGUCUUGAGGUCGAGAGAGGUGAGUGGAAUUCCGAGUGUAGAGGUGAAAUUCGUAGAUAUUCGGAGGAACACCAGUGGCGAAGGCGGCUCACUGGCUCGAUACUGACGCUGAGGUGCGAAAGCGUGGGGAGCAAAACAGGAUUAGAUACCCUGGUAGUCCACGCCGUAAACGAUGAAUGCCAGUCGUCGGGUUGCAUGCAAUUCGGUGACACACCUAACGGAUUAAGCAUUCCGCCUGGGGAGUACGGUCGCAAGAUU
rnacentral:rRNA from 1 species